AAUAAACACACACACAGACAUGCAUGAACUUAUAUGACUUCAAUAGUGCUCCUCUAAAGGAGGAAGAAGAAGAAAACCAGGAAAGAAGAAAGAUUGCUUCAGAAGCAAGACAAAAAGUGUUGGCAAAGGAAAAAAACUG
rnacentral:lncRNA from 1 species